ACCUGGCUGGCUCCGUCGGUAGAGCAUGGGACUCUUGAUCUCAGGGUCGUGAGUUUGAGCCCCACAUUAGGCA
rnacentral:tRNA from 1 species